UUAUUGGGCUUAAGCGCUCGUGAGGCGGCUUAUCCAGUCAAAGUGUGAAAUCUCCCGGCUUAACCGUUGAAACUGCCUUUGAUACUUGUUGUCUUGAGUGCGGUAGGGGCAUAUGGAAUUCCCGGWGGAGAGGUGAAAUUCGUAGAUAUCUGRAGGAACGCCAGAGGCGAAAGCACUCUGCUGGGCCUMUUCUGACGCUGACGCACGAAAGCUAGGGGAUCAGACAGGGAUUAGAUACCCCGUGUAGUCCUAGCCCUAAACUAUGGAUACUAAAUGUUGCACUUCUCUGRRYUCGCAGUGCWGCCACUAAYGYUAAUAUACCUCCCCCGGGGAGUAGUGGGCCCACGGSKGARACUCUCAGGAGUUUUGGGGGGAGCACACAA
rnacentral:rRNA from 1 species